rnacentral:rRNA from 1 species
UCGCACGAGAAAGCAGGAGCAAUCUUGUGAGUAAAGUGGCGUACGGGUGAGCAACACGUGGAUCAUCUACCUUCUAGUGGGGCAUACCUCUGGGAAACCGGAGAUAAUUCCGCAUAAGCUCGUAAGAGGAAAGCGGCGUCUUAACAACGACGCGCUGGAAGAGGAGUCCGCGGCUGAUUAGCUAGAUGGCGGGGUAACGGCCCACCAUGGCGAAGAUCGGUAGCCGGCCUGAGAGGGCACACGGCCACACUGGCACUGAAACACGGGCCAGUCUCCUACGGGAGGCAGCAGUGGGGAAUCUUGCACAAUGGAGGCAACUCUGAUGCAGCGACGCCGCGUGAGCGAUGAAGCCCUUCGGGGUGUAAAGUUCUUUCGACGGGAAAGGUAAUGACGGUACCCGGAGAAGGAGCUGCGGCUAACUACGUGCCAGCAGCCGCGGUAAUACGUAGGCAGCGAGCGUUGUUCGGAAUUACUGGGCGUAAAGAGUGUGUAGGCAGUGCUCCAAGUCUGGUGUGAAAUCUCCCGGCUUAACUGGGAGGGUGCGCCGGAAACUGGAGUGCUAGAGGGUGGGAGAGGUAAGCGGAAUUCCUGGUGUAGCGGUGAAAUGCGUAGAUAUCAGGAGGAACACCUGUGGUGUAGACAGCUUACUGGACCACUUCUGACGCUGAGACACGAAAGCGUGGGUAGCAAACAGGAUUAGAUACCCUGGUAGUCCACGCCCUAAACGAUGCAUACUUGGUGUGAGCGAUUCAUUUCGUUCGUGCCGGAGCUAACGC